AUAUCACCUUAGAACAUUGAAAGGCUAGAAUUAGUAAACAACAACUUUGUUUGAGUCCAACAUGUGCACAGGGGCAAGAGGGGUGUUUUAUUUACAAACAUAUGUGCCGAUUCUCUGUUGUCAAGUCGACACAAAUUUCCAACGGAGGAAAUUUUUAGCUAUAUUUUAACAAACAUUAUAACGUUAAUUUAACUUAUUUCUGUUAUAUCUUAUAGGAAAAUUUAAAAUAAAAAGUAUAAAUGCUACAAUUAACCUAUUUUAAGAAUAAAUAUAAUAUCCUUAAGCAAAAAAAAAACAAAAUUAUUAACAUUCUUAUCCCUAAAACUGCUUCUAAAAAAUUUGAAGCGACAACACCGGAGCUUAAGCGCCUAAACCAUACGCGUUGUGUCAUCUGUCAAACGGCUUUUUGUUUAUAUUCGGGAUUCGUGUAUUUUCUUUAAUUUUUGGUUUAAAAAGGAAAAAAGGCCACGUUUUAGUGUUUUUUUAAAUUGCUAGGAUGGCAAAAACUUGUGUCGUUUGUGCCGCAUCAUGAUAAAAACGUGAUUCAAGCCGAUCUUUUCACAAAUUGCCCAAUGAUUAUGCCCAAAGGGAACAAUGGGUUUCAUUAAUGGAAAUCAACACAUUUAAAAAGAACAUAUUUGUUUGUUCAGAUCACAUCCUUAGAAGUGAUAUAAGGGAGAUAAUAUUAUCAGUAGCCAGACUUUAUUAAAAAAAUCAGCUCUACCUCAAAGGAUUUCUGAUGCACUGGUUAAAAACACAGCAGCCAAUAAUUCAGUUAAUUUACCAAGUGAUUUACCCUUCAAAGCUACAGGGGUAGCUUUCCUGAAGAGUGCAAAAACUUCUUUAGCUUUCAAAAUGGUAUAUAGUACAAACAGUGAAGCUAAUAUAGACACAUCUGAUCAUUCAUCAUCAACAAUAACUGCAUCUGAGAAUUAUAGUUCUACAGUAACCGUGGAGUCUAGGUCAACAAUUACUAUUUCUCAUCCAAGCCGUUUUUGUUUAACUGCUACACAUUCCCUGACUCUGCCAAGGAAAAGGUAUAAAUACACUCAAAAUAGACUACUAGUUUUAUGCCAUGUAUCAUCCUAUUCUAUAUAUCUUAUUUAAAAGUGAUAUGGUAUUUUAUUGUAUUAUAUUUGUUUAAUUAAAUGCAAUUA